GCGCAUUUCAGAGCUUUGUUCAACUUAUUUUUAUAUACUAGCUUACUUUUAAGUCCGCUUUCAAAAAUUAUUUCAAUUUUUUAUUCAUUUUAUAAUUUAAUAAUUGUAACUCAUUCUCUCCUUUCUAUAAGCUGCACCUUGACUUGACAUCUAAAUACAUAAUAUUUUCUAGUUAACUUCUACAUUCUUAAAAGUUACCUGAUGACAGCGGUAUACAAACUGUUUACUAAAAAAGGUAAGGUUUAACGUGGAGUGUCGAUUAUGAAACAAGUUCCCCUAAAUAGUCUAAAAUACCGCCAAACUCUUUGAGUUUUAAACUAUUGUUCGUAGUACUCUGGUAAAUUACUUAAUUUAUAUCUAAGAAUAAUGGGGUAUCCAAUCCCAGUUUCCCUCAAAGAAUUCAUAGAUUCAGUCUUAAAGCCAUUCUAAUAUCAAUAAAUUAUAAUAGAUUUCACUCUUAUAUAGUUUAAUUAAUAGACCUUUAAAAUUCACCUAACUAUCUUUAACCGUAAAAUAUAACUUAACUCAUCGGUU
rnacentral:rRNA from 1 species